rfam:Triticum aestivum genome assembly, contig: Triticum_aestivum_CS42_TGACv1_scaffold_146851_2BS
AUAUUACUCACUCCGUCCGAAAAUACUUGUCAUCAAAAUGGAUAAAAUGAGAUGUAACGUACUUGUCAUCAAAAUGAAUAAAAUGAUGACAAGUAUUUUCGGACGGAGUGACUAUAGA